rnacentral:rRNA from 1 species
GUGUCAGCAGCCGCGGUAAUACGGGGGGAGCGAGCGUUGUUCGGAAUUACUGGGCGUAAAGGGCGCGCAGGCGGUUGGAUAAGAGAGUGGUGAAAACCCCGGGCUCAACCUGGGGCCGGCCAUUCAGACUGUCUGGCUGGAGUGUGGGAGAGGGAAGUGGAAUUCCUGGUGUAGCGGUGAAAUGCGUAGAUAUCAGGAGGAACACCGGUGGCGAAGGCGGCUUCCUGGACCACAACUGACGCUGAGGCGCGAAAGCCAGGGGAGCAAACAGGAUUAGAUACCCGCGUAGUCC